UAUUUAAGGUGGAGCAGAGGCUGGACCUUCAUGCAGUAUUUAAGGUGGAGCAGAGACCGGGCCUUCAUGCAGUAUUUAAGGUGGAGCAGAGACCGGACCUUCAUGCAGUAUUUAAGGUGGAGCAGAGGCUGGACCUUCAUGCAGUAUUUAAGGUGGAGCAGAGACCGGACCUUCAUGCAGUAUUUAAGGUGGAGCAGAGGCUGGACCUUCAUGCAGUAUUUAAGGCUGGACUUACUCUGUCUGAGCU